UUUUAGUCGUGUUGAAAAAUUGAAAAAGGAAAGAAAAAGGAGGAGCUCAAUUCCUCUUCUUAUUUUCUCCUCUUCCCUUUCUCUGUUACUGAACUAAUUGCAAUCGUGCACAAGUGAGAUUUGUAGAGACACAAAUUGAGGUACUGACGUUGAUGUUGGUUUUGGUGCUUGCUAUAAAUUCUCUUCCAAUUGAAAUUCUUAGAAGGCAGACAAGUUAGGGUUUAGAUUUUAAAGUAAGUUACAAGAAUUUUUUCAAAGCUAGAUGGAUGGAUGAUGUUUUGGAGUUUGAUGAUUUAUGAGUGAUGAGUUGUCUACCGAUUCAAGAUUUCAGGAAGGAGGUCUAUAAAUAUAGCCUAAAAAUACCACAACUAGCUCAUCCCAUCACCACCAUCGAAAAUACCUACAACCUGUUUGAUAAAAGGUCCCAUAGAACUGAUGAAUGGUUAAAGGUCCUUGUUACUUCUUUUACAUAAUUCUGGGAGUUUGAUUUCUCUGAUCCUGUUCCUGCAUGUCCAUUACAAGUAUUGAGUUUAUUCAAGAAUUGGUUUCGUAGUUUAGUCUACUGAAUCGUAGAGUGGAAAUACAAGAAGGGGUGCUAGUAAAGCAUAGAUGUUGGUGUUGCUGUUGCGCUCAUCCAUGGUGGCUAGAAAUUAACUACUGGAUCUGGUGAUAUUUCGGUACAUUUAUCUCAAACCCCACUCUGUACUUAAAGAGGUAUGUCGUUCGCAGCUUUUGUCGAAGGUGCUCUCUGUACCCCCAUUGUAUGCCGGAGUUUGGCAGAUGUUGAAUGAAACGUUGAUGCAUUUCUUUUCAUAAGCGUGUGCUAAGUGGGAUGGCAAGUGGCCUUCUGUGCAAAUAAAACGGGUGCUAGGAUAAUGAGGUACAUGGGAUCCAGAUUUUGUUUAAAAUCUUCCCUCAUUUUAAUUUUGUUUGUGUUUUGGUAGUAGGUACAGGCACUCGUACUGUGUACAUGGGAACUCACUUGCAAUAGAGUAGUGGGACUUCUAAUUAAAAAUUGUGGUUGCUAUGAAAUCCACCAUCAUGGAUCAUUUGAAUUGCAUGCUGUAUAUAAGGCAGCACGAAUACGUGUUUAUAAAUUGUGUAACUGCCUUGUGUGCUAUAUCUCGUUAAAAUGAACUAUGAAGCUUUUCUUGGGCAUUGUCAAAGGUAAGACAAAUGAAUGCCAUCCAUCGUAUGUGUUCAUUUUCAUAGUGACUAUUUAGUAAAUACUUUUAACUUGAAAGUGUUUUUAGUCUAUGAUAGUGGUAUUUCAAGUUAUGUGCUUGACGGGGUACACCCGGAUUAUGUAUAGAGUGCAUUAUAGUUUUCCAACGCCUUGCUACUACAAAUGUAAGGGAUCAUUGUAUGUAUGAGGUUUGAUAUGAUGGAAACGACUAUAAUUUGAUGUUCCUUAGAAGUGUAUGGCUAGGACAGCUAAGUGGAAUUCAGGCCAAUGAUUGCUGGGUGGAUUGUUAAUACAUUUUGUAAUGAAAUUAGGUAGUUUUAUUUACUGAAUGGUGCAGGCAAGUACUUGAGUUUUGAUGGGAAUUAUUAGUGAAUUUACAAGGGUGAAAUUAAUUUAAGUACUUAAGAUACUAUUGUACAAAAAUGUGCUCCAGCUUUAGACUGAUUUGAUAUUGGUUUACGCUAAGAUAAAGAAGACAUAUUAAUGAACUUAGUUGGUGUGUUAGUAACUAGAUCAAGCUUCCGGUGCUAGCUAGCUAGUCUGUUAAUGUGAACUAAAUAAAUUACAAAUUUAUAUGUUGUUAGUUCAGCUAUGGUGGUUCCACCUACAAAAUGUGUAUUAACCACAAUAUUUUCAUUUCUGGUCUUGUACAGGCAUGUAGAAAAGUCAUCCGUGUUUCAUUCAUUUUCCUUGGGACUUGCACUUUUAUUUGUCCAUUCCCAUCGUAAUUAUUUACUCACUGCUUGUUAUGUGUUCUUAUUCCAUUUUGGGUAAAAUGCUAUUAUUUAAUACCGAUGCUAUAAACUAAUAUCCACUGCAAGAAAUAAUUGCUACCUAAGCAGGUAAGGUAGUUCAUAUUAUUUAGUAAGAGAUGGUUGCUACUGUUGUAAGUAAUUCAUAAUAUCUAAAUAAAGCGAUGACGAACUACGGUCGUGCUCGAUCCCUUCGAGCAACUGAGAGGGUACGUAGGCAGCCGCUAUGCGGUUCAGCACAAAUCUACAGGGUUGUUCAUAUCAUCUGAAAGUCUUGGUUACUGCCUUGUAGUUCAUACCAUCAAUUUGGAGAUGAUUGCAACCUUGGCAAGUAUAUAUCAUUGGCAACUGGCCAAUGGUGGCUGGUAACCAGAACUACCUUGACGUUGGCAACUGGCUGUCUGUGAAUUUUGGCAACUGACAAGUCUGUUAUUUUUGGGCAAUUGGCCCGUGUUAAUUUGGAAACUGGCCAUAUGUUAUUUUGGGCAAUUGGCCCGUGUUAAUUUUGGCAACUGGUCGUAUUUUUGGGCAGUUGGUCCGUGUUAAUUUUGGCAACUGGCCGUCUGUUAUUUUUGGGCAAUUGGUCCGUGUUAAUUUUGGCAACUGGCCGUAUAAGUCUGGCCAAAUUUUAUUUUAGGCGAUUGGCCGACUCUUAUAUUUAUUUAUUUUGGAAA